GCAACUUCCCCUGAAAAUGAGUUGGCAACACUGGUCCAGAGCACGAGUGGUAUACAGCCCUACAGCUAAGUGGCUUGUGGGGCAGGUUCAGUCUGUUCAGCACUGUUGAUGUACUGGCUCAGCUCAUAGCUACUGGAGGACAGGCCUGGUGCCUUGAAACUUGCCAGAGUCCCAGGAUGUUUGCAUAACAGGAGGUCUGGAGGACAAGACCAGCCAAACCAAGAUAGGAGAAUGAGUGCGGAUGGAGAACAUCAUACAACCAAGUUCCUAAAAUAAGUAUUAAACAGAGUGGGCAAACAGCAACACAGAUCUGUACAGUAUCUUUGUCAGAAGAAAUCCAUAAAAUUUAUUGAUCAUAAUAUUUAAAUGUUUACCUCUGUACCAGCCUCCCCAUUAUCUCUAGAACGACCUUAGCUUGUUUGAUUGCCUUGUGGAGGGAAUAGCUACACGGUCAUGUUUCCGGUCAUACAGCGUUCCUCAUUGAGUUCCCUGAAUUCCUAUCAGACCUUGUAGUCAUAGCAGAUAAUAUUCUAAUUUUUGGUGACUAAUAUUCACGUGGAAAAGUCCACAGACCCACUCCAAAAGGCUUUCGGAGCCAUCAUCGACUCGAUGGGUUUUGUCCAGCAUGUCUCUGGACCUACUCACUAUCACAGUCAUACUCUGGACCUAGUUUUGUCUCAAGGAAUAAAUGUUGUGGAUCUUCAUGUUUUUCCUCAUAAUCCUGGACUAUCGGACCACCAUUUUAUUAUGUUUGCAAUAACUUUCCAUUUCCAUGUUUUUCUUUAAGUUUAUGAGGAUUGUCGGGAUGGUCAGCACAUGCCACGUUGUGUCAAACACUGUUGACUGAAAAAUCAUGCAGUGGAGAAAAGAAACAGCACUGCUGCCUUACAUAUAGCCGGGCUGGUAUAAUAAAACCUCCAUAUUGGGAAAGGAAAAAGUUAGAGGACUCCAACAGAUGGGAGGCCCAUAUCACUAGUGUAUUUUAAGGACACACAUAUCUAUGAAUCAUCAGUUAGGCAAUGUUUUAGAUAUUUCAAGAUAGGCUUCCUCAAUAAAAAAUCUCUGGACAAGAAGCCUAUAAAUAGUAUUCAAAUAGGAUAUUCGACUCCUGCACUAUU